rnacentral:rRNA from 1 species
UGGGGAAUUUUCCGCAAUGGGCGAAAGCCUGACGGAGCAAUACCGCGUGGGGGAGGAAGGCUUUUGGGUUGUAAACCCCUUUUGCUCGGGAAGAAGUUCUGACGGUACCGAGCGAAUAAGCAUCGGCUAACUCCGUGCCAGCAGCCGCGGUAAUACGGAGGAUGCAAGCGUUAUCCGGAAUUAUUGGGCGUAAAGCGUCCGCAGGUGGUUGUUCAAGUCUGCUGUCAAAGACGGAAGCUCAACUUCCGGCAGGCAGUGGAAACUGGAGAACUAGAGGCCGGUAGGGGUAGCGGGAAUUCCCAGUGUAGCGGUGAAAUGCGUAGAGAUUGGGAAGAACAUCGGUGGCGAAGGCGCGCUACUGGGCCGGGCCUGACACUCAGGGACGAAAGCUAGGGGAGCGAAAGGGAUUAGAUACCCCUGUAGUCCUAGCUGUAAACGAUGGAGACUAGGCGUGGCUUGUAUCGACCCGAGCCGUGCCGAAGCUAACGCGUUAAGUCUCCCGCCUGGGGAGUACGCACGCAAGUGUGAAACUCAAAGGAAUUGACGGGGGCCCGCACAAGCGGUGGAGUAUGUGGUUUAAUUCGAUGCAACGCGAAGAACCUUACCAGGGCUUGACAUGUCGCGAACCCUGCCGAAAGGUGGGGGUGCCUUAGGGAACGCGAACACAGGUGGUGCAUGGCUGUCGUCAGCUCGUGUCGUGAGAUGUUGGGUUAAGUCCCGCAACGAGCGCAACCCUCGUCCUUAGUUGCCAGCAUUAAGUUGGGCACUCUAGGGAGACUGCCGGUGACAAACCGGAGGAAGGUGGGGAUGACGUCAAGUCAGCAUGCCCCUUACGUCCUGGGCGACACACGUACUACAAUGGUGGGGACAAAGGGCAGCGACCCCGCGAGGGCAAGCGAAUCUCAGCAAACCCCGCCUCAGUUCAGAUUGCAGGCUGCAACUCGCCUGCAUGAAGGAGGAAUCGCUAGUAAUCGCAGGUCAGAAUACUGCGGUGAAUUCGUUCCCGGGCCUUGUACACACCGCCCGU